ACGUAGGGGGCCAGCGUUGUCCGGACUUACUGGGCGUAAAGCGCGCGCAGGCGGACCUGUAUGUGCCGUGUGAAAGCGCCGGACUUACUUCGGCGAGGUCAUGGUAGACAGCAGGUCUGGAGCCUCGGAGAGGUCGGUGGAAUUCCGGGUGGAGCGGUGAAAUGCGUAGAGAUCCGGAGGAACACCAGGGGCGAAGGCGGCCGACUGGCCGAGUGCUGACGCUGAGGCGCGACGGCGUGGGGAGCAAACCGGA
rnacentral:rRNA from 1 species